CAAGGUUAAAACUCAAGGAAUUGACGGGGACCCGCACAAGCGGUGGAUGAUGUGGAUUAAUUCGAUGCAACGCGAAAAACCUUACCUACCCUUGACAUGUCCAGAAGCCUGAAGAGAUUUGGGUGUGCCCGAAAGGGAACUGGAACACAGGUGCUGCAUGGCUGUCGUCAGCUCGUGUCGUGAGAUGUUGGGUUAAGUCCCGCAACGAGCGCAACCCUUGUCGUUAAUUGCCAUCAUUUAGUUGGGCACUUUAACGAGACUGCCGGUGACAAACCGGAGGAAGGUGGGGAUGACGUCAAGUCCUCAUGGCCCUUAUGGGUAGGGCUUCACACGUCAUACAAUGGUCGGUACAGAGGGUUGCCAAGCCGCGAGGUGGAGCCAAUCCCAGAAAGCCGAUCGUAGUCCGGAUCGCAGGCUGCAACUCGCCUGCGUGAAGUCGGAAUCGCUAGUAAUCGCGGAUCAGCAUGUCGCGGUGAAUACGUUCCCGGGUCUUGUACACACCGC
rnacentral:rRNA from 1 species